GAUGAACGCUGGCGGCGUGCCUAAUACAUGCAAGUCGAGCGAACGGACGAGAAGCUUGCUUCCCUGAUGUUAGCGGCGGACGGGUGAGUAACACGUGGAUAACCUACCUAUAAGACUGGGAUAACUUCGGGAAACCGGAGCUAAUACCGGAUGAUAUUUUGAACCGCAUGGUUCAAAAGUGAAAGACGGUCUUGCUGUCACUUAUAGAUGGAUCCGCGCUGCAUUAGCUAGUUGGUAAGGUAACGGCUUACCAAGGCAGCGAUGCAUAGCCGACCUGAGAGGGUGAUCGGCCACACUGGAACUGAGACACGGUCCAGACUCCUACGGGAGGCAGCAGUAGGGAAUCUUCCGCAAUGGGCGAAAGCCUGACGGAGCAACGCCGCGUGAGUGAUGAAGGUCUUCGGAUCGUAAAACUCUGUUAUUAGGGAAGAACAUAUGUGUAAGUAACUGUGCACAUCUUGACGGUACCUAAUCAGAAAGCCACGGCUAACUACGUG
rnacentral:rRNA from 1 species